rnacentral:rRNA from 1 species
UACGGAAGGCAGCAGUGGGGAAUAUUGCACAAUGGGCGAAAGCCUGAUGCAGCUAUGCCGCGUGUAUGAAGAAGGCCUUAGGGUUGUAAAGUACUUUCAUCGGGGAGGAAAAAACAAAACUAAUAAUUUUAUUUCUUGACGUUACCCGAAAAAGAAGCACCGGCUAACUCCGUGCCAGCAGCCGCGGUAAUACGGAGGGUGCUAGCGUUAAUCAGAAUUACUGGGCGUAAAGAGCACGUAGGUGGUUUUUUUAAGUCAGAUGUGAAAUCCCUGGGCUUAACCUAGGAACUGCAUUUUGAAACUGAAAUACUAGAGUAUCGUAGAGGGAGGUAGAAUUCUAGGUGUAGCGGUGAAAAUGCGUAGAUAUCUGGAGGAAUACCUGUGGCGAAAAGCGGCCUCCUAAACGAAUACUGACACUGAGGUGCGAAAAGCGUGGGGAGCAAAACAGGGAUUAGAUACC